UACGUAGGGUGCAAGCGUUGUCCGGAAUUAUUGGGCGUAAAGAGCUCGUAGGUGGCGGGUCACGUCGGGUGUGAAAGCCCGGGGCUUAACCCCGGGUCUGCAUUCGAUACGGGUCUGCUGGGGUCCGGCAGGGGAGACUGGAAUUCCUGGUGUAGCGGUGAAAUGCGCAGAUAUCAGGAGGAACACCGGUGGCGAAGGCGGGUCUCUGGGCCGAUACUGACGCUGUAGCGCGAAAGCGUGGGGGAGCGAACGGG
rnacentral:rRNA from 1 species